rnacentral:rRNA from 1 species
UGGGGAAUAUUGGGCAAUGGGCGAAAGCCUGACCCAGCAACGCCGCGUGAGUGAUGAAGGCCUUCGGGUUGUAAAACUCUUUGGACAGGGACGAAGAAAGUGACGGUACCUGUAGAACAAGCCACGGCUAACUACGUGCCAGCAGCCGCGGUAAUACGUAGGGGGCUAGCGUUAUCCGGAUUUACUGGGCGUAAAGGGUGCGUAGGUGGUCUUUCAAGUCGGUGGUUAAAGGCUACGGCUCAACCGUAGUUAGCCUCCGAAACUGGAAGACUUGAGUGCAGGAGAGGAAAGUGGAAUUCCCAGUGUAGCGGUGAAAUGCGUAGAGAUUAGGAGGAACACCGGUGGCGAAAGCGGCUUUUUGGCCUGCAACUGACACUGAGGCGCGAAAGCGUGGGGAGCAAACAGG